rnacentral:tRNA from 1 species
UUAAUUGAAGCCAAAAUAGAGGCAUAUCACUGUUAAUGAUAAGACUGAAUCUUAAUUCCAAUUAAG